rnacentral:rRNA from 1 species
GACGAACGCUGGCGGCGUGCUUAACACAUGCAAGUCGAACGGAAAGGCCCUGCUUUUGUGGGGUGCUCGAGUGGCGAACGGGUGAGUAACACGUGAGUAACCUGCCCUUGACUUUGGGAUAACUUCAGGAAACUGGGGCUAAUACCGGAUAGGAGCUCCUGCUGCAUGGUGGGGGUUGGAAAGUUUCGGCGGUUGGGGAUGGACUCGCGGCUUAUCAGCUUGUUGGUGGGGUAGUGGCUUACCAAGGCUUUGACGGGUAGCCGGCCUGAGAGGGUGACCGGCCACAUUGGGACUGAGAUACGGCCCAGACUCCUACGGGAGGCAGCAGUGGGGAAUAUUGCACAAUGGGCGGAAGCCUGAUGCAGCAACGCCGCGUGCGGGAUGACGGCCUUCGGGUUGUAAACCGCUUUCGCCUGCGACGAAGCGUGAGUGACGGUACUGGGUAAAGAAGCACCGGCUAACUACGUG